rnacentral:pre_miRNA from 1 species
UGACUUUAAAGAAAUUUAAGCUCCUCCUAGCUAAUUUGCAUCAUAUCUAUGUAAAUUAGCUAGGAGGAGCCUAAAUUACUUUUGGAUGAUUUU